GUACCUGUAUGUGCAGGAGACAAGCUCAAGCUCUUUGUGUCAUUAGACGCAGAGGACUAACCUAGGAACUCAGCAUGAAAUUUAAGCUGAAUUGGAUUUUCCUUCUGACUAUUUUCCAAGGUGUCCAGUGUGAUGUGCAGUUGGUGGAAUCUGGGGGAGAUGUGAGACAGCCUGGAGGAUCUCUGCAACUCUCCUGUAAAGUUUCUGGAUUUACUUUCAGUGACUACUACAUGGAUUGGGUCCGCCAGGCUCCAGGGAAGGGACUGGAAUGGGUUGCUGGAAUUAGUGAUAGUGGUGAUACAUACUAUGCAGACUCUGUGAAAGGUCGAUUCACCAUCUCCAGAGAUGAUGGCAACAGCAUGUUAUAUCUACAGAUAACUUCCCUUAAGACUGAGGAUACAGCUGUUUAUUACUGUACGAGAGACACAGUGAGGAAAAGGAAUGUGAGACCAGACAGAAACUGCCCCUGCCAGGUGGUGAGAUAUCAGUGA